AUUUAUCUAGUAUAUUAGUACAAUUGACUUCCAAUCAAUAAGAUUGAUUAUUAUCAAGAUAAAUA
rnacentral:tRNA from 1 species